rnacentral:rRNA from 1 species
UUAAAACAAGCUUUUAAGAGCAGAUGGCGGAUGCCUUGCCAAAGAGAGGCGAUGAAGGACGUACUAGACUGCGAUAAGCUAUGCGGAGCUGUCAAGGAGCUUUGAUGCGUAGAUGUCCGAAUGGGGCAACCCAACUAAUAGAGAUAUUAGUUACUCUUUAAAUAGAGAGCGAACCUAGUGAAGUGAAACAUCUCAGUAACUAGAGGAAAAGAAAUCAACGAGAUUCCCUAAGUAGUGGCGAGCGAACGGGGAAAAGGGCAAACCGAGUGCUUGCAUUCGGGGUUGAGGACUGCAACAUCCAAGAAAACGCUUUAGCAGAGUUACCUGGAAAGGUAAGCCAUAGAAAGUGAUAGCCUUGUAUGCGACAAGGCGUUUUCAGGUAGCAGUAUCCAGAGUAGGCCAGGACACGAGGAAUCCAGGUUGAAGCCGGGGAGACCACUCUCCAACCCUAAAUACUACUCUUUGAGCGAUAGCGAACAAGUACCGUGAGGGAAAGGUGAAAAGAACCGCAGUGAGCGGAGUGAAAUAGAACCUGAAACCAUCUGCUUACAAUCAUUCAGAGCCCUAUGAUUUAUCAGGGUGAUGGACUGCCUUUUGCAUAAUGAUCCUGCGAGUUGUGGUAUCUGGCAAGGUUAAGCGAAUGCGAAGCCGUAGCGAAAGCGAGUCUUAAUAGGGCGAACAAGUCAGAUGCUGCAGACCCGAAGCUAAGUGAUCUAUCCAUGGCCAAGUUGAAACGCGUGUAAUAGCGCGUGGAGGACUGAACUCGUACCCAUUGAAACGGGUUGGGAUGAGCUGUGGAUAGGGGUGAAAGGCCAAACAAACUUAGUGAUAGCUGGUUCUCUUCGAAAUAUAUUUAGGUAUAGCCUCAAGUGAUAAUAAAAGGGGGUAGAGCGCUGAUUGGGCUAGGGCUGCUCGCCGCGGUACCAAACCCUAUCAAACUUCGAAUACCUUUUAUCGUAUCUUGGGAGUCAGGCGGUGGGUGAUAAAAUCAAUCGUCAAAAGGGGAACAACCCAGACUACCAAAUAAGGUCCCUAAGUUCUAUUCUGAGUGGAAAAAGAUGUGUGGCUACUCAAACAACCAGGAGGUUGGCUUAGAAGCAGCCAUCCUUUAAAGAAAGCGUAACAGCUCACUGGUCUAGUGGUCAUGCGCUGAAAAUAUAACGGGGCUAAGAUAGACACCGAAUUUGUAGAUUGUGUUAAACACAGUGGUAGAAGAGCGUUCAUACCAGCGUUGAAGGUAUACCGGUAAGGAGUGCUGGAGCGGUAUGAAGUGAGCAUGCAGGAAUGAGUAACGAUAAGAUAUAUGAGAAUUGUAUCCGCCGUAAAUCUAAGGUUUCCUACGCGAUGGUCGUCAUCGUAGGGUUAGUCGGGUCCUAAGCCGAGUCCGAAAGGGGUAGGUGAUGGCAAAUUGGUUAAUAUUCCAAUACCGACUAUGGAGCGUGAUGGGGGGACGCAUAGGGUUAAGCGAGCUAGCUGAUGGAAGCGCUAGUCUAAGGGCGUAGAUUGGAGGGAAGGCAAAUCCACCUCUGUAUUUGAAACCCAAACAGGCUCUUUGAGUCCUUUUAGGACAAAGGGAGAAUCGCUGAUACCGUCGUGCCAAGAAAAGCCUCUAAGCAUAUCCGCAGUCGUCCGUACCGCAAACCGACACAGGUAGAUGAGAUGAGUAUUCUAAGGCGCGUGAAAGAACUCUGGUUAAGGAACUCUGCAAACUAGCACCGUAAGUUCGCGAUAAGGUGUGCCACAGCGAUGUGGUCUCAGCAAAGAGUCCCUCCCGACUGUUUACCAAAAACACAGCACUUUGCCAACUCGUAAGAGGAAGUAUAAGGUGUGACGCCUGCCCGGUGCUCGAAGGUUAAGAGGAUGCGUCAGUCGCAAGAUGAAGCGUUGAAUUGAAGCCCGAGUAAACGGCGG